rnacentral:ncRNA from 1 species
UUAAUCGCUGGGAACAGGACAAGUAACCUGCUGGAAGCCCUGCAGGGAGGCCGUAUCAAAGACUGGAAGUAUGGCCAGGAGGGAAAACAGGUGAAUUCACCUGGGAGCAGUGGAUUGAAAUAGUAGUAGAUCUCACCGGUAGCCACCGUUAAAGGGCAGCAAAGAGAAUUAAGCCGCAUUAAUAGCGGUUUGAUUAAUCAGGGUGGUACCGCGGAACCAGGCUUUCGUCCCUAUG